rnacentral:rRNA from 1 species
GAUCCUGGCUCAGGAUGAACGCUAGCGACAGGCUUAACACAUGCAAGUCGAGGGGCAGCAUAAAAGUAGCAAUACUUGGUGGCGACCGGCGCACGGGUGAGUAACGCGUAUGCAACCUACCUAUCAGAGGGGAAUAACCCGGCGAAAGUCGGACUAAUACCGCAUAAAACAGGGACACCGCAUGGUGAUAUUUGUUAAAGAAAUUCGCUGAUAGAUGGGCAUGCGUUCCAUUAGGUAGUUGGUGAGGUAACGGCUCACCAAGCCGACGAUGGAUAGGGGAACUGAGAGGUUGGUCCCCCACACUGGUACUGAGACACGGACCAGACUCCUACGGGAGGCAGCAGUGAGGAAUAUUGGUCAAUGGGCGAGAGCCUGAACCAGCCAAGUCGCGUGAAGGAAAGAAGGAUCUAUGGUUCGUAAACUUCUUUUGCAGGGGAAUAAAGUGCAGGACGUGUCCUGUUUUGUAUGUACCCUGAGAAUAAGGAUCGGCUAACUCCGUGCCAGCAGCAGC